rnacentral:rRNA from 1 species
GGGAGGCAGCAGUGGGGAAUAUUGCGCAAUGGAGGCAACUCUGACGCAGCCAUGCCGCGUGCAGGAAGACGGCGCUACGCGUUGUAAACUGCUUUUAACCGGGAAGAAACCCCAGGACGUGUCCUGGGUUGACGGUACCGGAGGAAUAAGCACCGGCUAACUUCGUGCCAGCAGCCGCGGUAAUACGAAGGGUGCAAGCGUUAUCCGGAUUCAUUGGGUUUAAAGGGUGCGUAGGCGGGGUGGUAAGUCAGUGGUGAAAUCCUGCAGCUUAACUGUAGAAUUGCCAUUGAUACUGCCAUUCUUGAGUACGCUGGAUGUGGGCGGAAUGUGCGCUGUAGCGGUGAAAUGCUUAGAUAUGGCACAGAACACCGAUAGCGAAGGCAGCUCACAACGGCGAAACUGACGCUGAGGCACGAAAGCGUGGGGAUCGAACAGGAUUAGAUACCCGGGUAGUCCC